GCAAGAAGAGGACUUUUGGUGCUUUACCGAU
rnacentral:piRNA from 1 species